CUGCGGCAACCGGGUUUUAUUCCGUGAAUUCUGAGCUGCCUUUGUGCCCGAUGGGACUGGAUCAGUGAGAUUCUGUCACAACCUCGCCCCUCGGGGCUGCGCCCUGCCCGUGGGAGGUGCAGUGCGCGUGGCAGCAGUUUCCUCCAACAGUGUUGUCUUCCGUCUUUCACAGAGUGGAGGUUAAUGAUUCACUUCAAGAAAACUAUGCUGCAGAAGUGACACCGUAGGAUUUUGGAGCUGUCAUAAUGGUAACAUUCACUGGCUCUUCCUCUCUUGGGUCAUUGGCUCAAGGAGUUUGCUCCCGAGGAGAGAACGCAGUCAAUAUCCUCUGUGGGUGUGCAAAGAGCCUGAGAAGAGGAAUAAAUGAGGAGGAAUAGAAGCCUUUCCCACAAGGCAGCACCAACUCAACAGUCAUGUGAGUCAUGUUUUCUCUUGGAAAGAGAUCCCUCUGGCUUCUUCAAGAUCUCAGAUAAUGAUGAUCCACCAGAGAUUUAACUGCAACAGAAGGAGAGAAUCUGUUCUACAAACAUCCAGCAAAGACACUCCUGAAUUACCAACUCAUAAAACUGUAAAGACAAUAAAUGGUAAUUUCACUUUACAGAGGUGUAUCAAAAUUUUUUGUUACAUAUAUUAACUAGAAUAGAAAAUGAAAAGAAAGAAGAAAUAAAGAAAGGAAAGAAACAAGGAAGAAGAUAAAAGAGGAAAGUACAGUUCAUUUAUUGCUUUGAAAUGCCUAUUUUAUUACUUGGAAAGAGUUUAAUGUUUCUUUAUAACAGAAUGGUUUCUAAAUGUAUUAAACAAUUAAAUAUUAGAAAUGAAACCAUAAAAAAAGAAAAUAAGUGGUACUGGGAACAAUUGUGAAUACCUGUAAUCCCAGAUCUCUGGGAGGCUAAGCCGGGAGGAUUUCAAGUACCAACCCAGCCUUGGCAAUUUAGCAAUUUAGCAAGACUCUGUUUCAAAAUAAAAUAAAACCAAAUGUAUUUCAUUACUUAAAGCCACUAAGUUUAUGACUUUAUAUAGCAAAAAAUAAUUCAGCGAUUCAUAGAUUGAUAGAUUAAAUUUGAAGUCAAUUGGCUAAAAUUGUUUACUGAAAAAAAUGAAUAGAAUAAUAUGAAGAAAAAUUUAAAUAUAUUGAGGUCGGGGAAAAGUAAUAAAAAAUAGAACACUAGGUGGAAGAAAAGCUUAUGAUAGUGAUUGACAAGAUACAUUCAGUAAGAUAAAAAGAUUUGGAGUAUUGAUGGGCCAUAAAAUAAUCAAGGAUGUUGUACUGAUCAGCUUUUGGCCAAUGAGACAAAGCACCUGUGACCUGAAAAUUUGCAGAAGAAAAGGUAUAUUUUUGGUUCAGAGUUCUAGAGGUUUCACUCUACAAUCAACUAUCUCCAAUACAAAACCAUCAUAAUAGAAAGCAUUGUAGAGGUAGCUACUCAAAUAUGGUAGCUGGGGAGCAGAAGCAGUUGGAAAGAUACUAUCUUAGUUUCUUUUUUCAUUGCUGAGACAAAAUACCCAACACUCAAAGUUAAAGGAGGAAAAGUUUAUUUUAGAGCAUAGUUUGUAGAAGUUUCAUUCCAUAGUCCCCUUGGUCCAAGGAAGGGUAGCAUGGCAGAGGGGCAUCACAUCCACAAAGGAAAAACAGUCCAUGGUGUGGCAGGCAGAAAGCAGCAAAGGAGCAAGCAGCAAAGCAGCAAGCAGCAAGCAGCAAGGUGCCAGCCUGCCUCUCCCUUUUAUGCCAUCUAGGCUAUCACCCUUUUUGGUAGUGCCACUCAGAACUAUGCUAAUUCCAGUAAAUGGACCAUUUUAGUACUGCACACCAGUAAUCCCAAUAUCACAUGCCCCAGAACCAGCUGACUCAGAAAAGCCCCACCUAUGAGUGCAUGAGGUUUGACAGGGACAUCUAUACACAAGUCAUAACACAGCCAGAGAGGAAGGUCACACCCAAACAUACCCAGACACACCCAGAAGUGUUUGACUAAUUUCCUAAAUGUCUCCUAAGCAGAUCAAGUUGACAGUCCAGAUUAACUGUCACAGGUGUUAAAUUCUAGAUCAAAUACUUUUCAAGUUAAAGACUGUCAGUGAAUUAAACUAUAAAUGUUUAAUAUGAUUAGGAAUAUAAAUUUAUAUGAAAUCAUGUGGGAAAAAAUCCCAAUUCACUGUAGGUAACAAAAUAAAUGGGAAUUAAUUAAAAAUCAAGAACAGCUAAUACAGAUAUGGUAUGCCUAGAAUCUUUGUUAUAAAUAUACUCUAGAUAAAGCAUUUAUGGAGAGGAAUAAUAAAGAGAUGAAGGGCAGAAAUGUCCAGUGAAUACCUGGCAACACAAACUUGGACUUUAGAAAGAUUCUGGCUUGAGAAAUUUACAUCAUCAUAGCAUUAGUGUAUUGAGAUAGAUAAACCACAAGAAAAAAUGAGAUCCCUUAAGAAUAUGAGAUAGUUGAGGUAAAAAUAUGGCCACAUUUGUAAUUUUAACAUGAUUUUCUUAUUUCUAGCAGGACAUGAUAGAUGAUAAUUUCUCUAUCACUUUUGUAUAGUGCAAGAGAAUAAAUGAUUCAUUCUAGACCAUAUAAUAUGGUGGUAGGAUACUAGGAACAAGAACUCAUGGUACGAGCCAUGUUUUCUCUAUGUAUGUGUCAGUUAAUGAACAUUGGGAGUGUUUCCAUUUCUUAUGUAUCAUAAAUAAUUCAGAAAUAAACCUGCAAAUAUAGAUGUUUCUUUAACACACUGAUUCAUUUUUUGUAUAUAUACUCAGUAGUGUGAUUGCUGGAUCAUGUAGUAGUUCUAUUGGUCAAUAUUUUAAAGCAACUUCUUUACUUUUCUCCACAAUAGCAGCUUUCACCAUAAAUGUUUAUCACCAGAAAUGAUAAAUGUUUGAGAAAAUAGCUAUAUUUUACCUGACUUAAACAUUACACAAUGUAUAUACUCAUAAACAGUCCCCAUAAAUGAGUACACUUUUAUACUUUUAUCAGUAAAAAUAAGUGUAAUUAAAAUAAAUUUAUAAUACUUACAUUAUUGAGAUGAGAUGAUUUAUAUGUUUUUAUAUAUUAGUAAUACUCAAUAGUUACAAAAAUGUGCAAAACAAAUGAAAAGUAUGUUUGGCAUUUCAAAAAUGAAAGAAAUGCUUAAAUUUACUAUUUGCCUUACAAAUAAAAUAUGAUAUUCACCUCUCAAAAAAUGUCAUAUUACUCUAGUAAGUGCUAGCAAUUAAAAGUUUACUGGCCCCUCCAAAACCCAUUGAACUUUAGAAUCCCAUUGACGAUCUGCAGUAGUCAUACGAAUAUGACGUUCUGACAGAUAUUUGCACCUUUUAAAAAUAUAUUUUUCUAGAUGUAAAAUAUCGUUCUUACUAUGAAACAACAAAACUACAGAUUCAGUGAAAUAUUAUUUGCUUAGAUUGAAUUAAUAAAAUUUAUAUUAUACUAAUAUUGAAUAGACAUAUCUUAAUAGAAAAAUAUAUUGUAUUUAACUGCUCUAUUUACUGGAAUAUUUAUUUUCAAGAUAAUACUAUUCAAAAGAACUAAUAAAGGCUUUGGAAAGAUAAAAUCCAUACAAGAAAAAGACACUAUUUCAGCAGUGCAAUUUCUUUCUUCUUUAAAAUGAGAAUUAAAUAUCAUGGUAUGUUUUUAUGGCUUUUUAUUAUAUAUUCAUAGUUUUUUCAUUUAAUAAUCUUAAAUCAUAGUGUAGCUUCGUUAAAAUUUCAAUAUUUGAACAUUGAUGAGGAUUACUUUAUGGGCUAGAUUUUGGAUUAUCUUUUCUCAAUUUAAAUUUUUUAAAGUUACAUUUUAACUGGUACAUUAAAAAGUAUUAAAAAUUUCAUAUUAACAUGAUGUUUGAUUAAAAAUAAAUAUUGGGUAAUGUUUAAGUCAUAUUAAUCAUAUCUGUCUCUUUAGUUAUCAUUUCUUUAGUGUAAAGUGUUUCAAAUUUCUUUCUUUAAGGUUUUGGAAUGUACUGAAAAUUAUAGAAAUCUAUAGUCACUGUACCGUAUUGCACACCAGAACUUUUUACUUCUUUAUGUUACUUUACUUCUUUAUGUUACCCAUUGGUUAAACUUUCCCCAUCAUACCUGUAUCCCCUAACAAACUUCCUCAACCUUUAAUAACCACCAUUAAACUUUUAACUUGAAUGAGAUUAACUUUGUCUAGAUUUCAUGUAUGAAUGAUAUCAUAAAGUCCCUGUCUUUCUUUAACUGGCUUAUUUCAGUGAACGUAAUGAUCACCAGUUCCAUCCAUGCAAAAUAACUUCAUCUUGAUUAAGUCUGAAUAGUAUCUUAUUGUGUGUAGGUACCACAUUGAUUUAUUCAUUCAUUGGUUGAUAUAUAUUUGGGUUUUUCUAAUUCUUCAUAUUGUGAACAGUGGUGCCCUUUUUAUAAUGGUAGAUGACUCUAAGAAUCAGUGUUAAUGAAGGGAAUUGAAAUGUGUUAUGUACUUGUACCAAUCCCCUAAAGGGAAUGUAAUCAUUAUGUACUGUGAAAACACACUAAUAAAAGUAACAGAAAAAGAAA